rnacentral:rRNA from 1 species
GAUGAACGCUGACAGAAUGCUUAACACAUGCAAGUCGAUGGGGAAGUGGUGCUUGCACCAUGGCAACCAUGGCGGACGGGUGAGUAACGCGUAAGGGACUUACCUGCAGGACUGGGAUAACAGGGGGAAACUCCUGACAAGACCGGAUAAUGUCAUGGAGCUGCAUGGCUUUAUGAUGAAAGGAGACGCCUGCGGAGAGCCUUGCGUCCUAUUAGCUAGUUGGUGAGGUAAUGGCUCACCAAGGCGAAGAUAGGUAGCCGGCCUGAGAGGGUGGACGGCCACAAGGGGACUGAGAUACGGCCCUUACUCCUACGGGAGGCAGCAGUGGGGAAUAUUGGACAAUGGGGGCAACCCUGAUCCAGCAAUUCUGUGUGCACGAAGAAGGUUUUCGGAUUGUAAGGUGCUUUCAGCAGGGAAGAAGUAAGUGACGGUACCUGCAGAAGAAGCGACGGCUAAAUACGUG